UGUGGGCUCCUGGGUUGAGGUAGUAGGUUGUAUAGUUUAAGGGGCAGACAUUCAUCUUCCCUUAUCGGAGAUAAGCUAUGCAGCCAACUGCCUUUCCCAGGGCUUCGC
rnacentral:pre_miRNA from 1 species